rnacentral:rRNA from 1 species
UACGUAGGGUGCAAGCGUUGUCCGGAAUUAUUGGGCGUAAAGAGCUCGUAGGCGGUUUGUCGCGUCUGCUGUGAAAACUCGGGGCUUAACCCCGGGCCUGCAGUGGGUACGGGCAGACUAGAGUCCGGAAGAGGCGAGUGGAAUUCCUGGUGUAGCGGUGGAAUGCGCAGAUAUCAGGAGGAACACCAAUGGCGAAGGCAGCUCGCUGGGACGGUACUGACGCUAAGGCGCGAAAGCGUGGGGAGCGAACAGG